rnacentral:rRNA from 1 species
CCUACGGGUGGCAGCAGUGAGGAAUAUUGGUCAAUGGACGAGAGUCUGAUCCAGCCACGCAGCGUGAAGGAUGACUGCCCUAGGGGUUGUAACCUUCUUUUAUAAAGGAAUAAAACGUGGCACGUGUGCCUUUUUGCAUGUACUUUAUGAAUAAGGAGCGGCUAACUCCGUGCCAGCAGCCGCGGUAAUACGGAGGAUCCGAGCGUUAUCCGGUUUUAUUGGGUUUAAAGGGAGCGUAGAUGGGUUGUUAAGUCAGUUGUGAAAGUUUGCGGCUCAACCGUAAAAUUGCAAUUGAUACUGGCAGUCUUGAGUACAGUUGAGGUAGGCGGAAUUCGUGGUGUAGCGGUGAAAUGCUUAGAUAUCACGAAGAACCCCGAUUGCGAAGGCAGCUUACUAAACUGUGACUGACAUUGAUGCGCGAAAGUGUGGGGAGCAAACAGGAUUAGAUACCCUAGUAGUC